GACGAACGCUAGCGGCAGGCCUAACACAUGCAAGUCGAGGGGUAGAACACUUCGGUGUUUGAGACCGGCGCACGGGUGCGUAACGCGUAUGCAAUCUACCUUGUACAGGGGAAUGGCCCAGAGAAAUUUGGAUUAAUGCCCCAUAGUAUAUAACCUUCGCAUGUUGGUUAUAUUAAAGUUCCAACGGUACAAGAUGAGCAUGCGUCCCAUUAGUUAGUUGGUAAGGUAACGGCUUACCAAGACGAUGAUGGGUAGGGGUCCUGAGAGGGAGAUCCCCCACACUGGUACUGAGACACGGACCAGACUCCUACGGGAGGCAGCAGUGAGGAAUAUUGGUCAAUGGGCGCAAGCCUGAGCCAGCCAUGCCGCGUGCAGGAAGACGGUCCUAUGGAUUGUAAACUGCUUUUAUACAGGAAGAAACCCUCCCACGUGUGGGAGAUUGACGGUACUGCAGGAAUAAGGAUCGGCUAACUCCGUGCCAGCCGCCGCGGUAAGAC
rnacentral:rRNA from 1 species